rnacentral:rRNA from 1 species
AACGCGAAGAACCUUACCCAGACUUGACAUGCAGUGGACAGUUACAGAAAUGUAAUCUUCCUUCGGGACCGCUGCACAGGUGCUGCAUGGCUGUCGUCAGCUCGUGCCGUGAGGUGUUUGGUUAAGUCCCGCAACGAGCGCAACCCUUGUCCUGUGUUGGCAUGUCGCAAGGCGCAACUCUCAGGAGACCGCCAGCGAUAAGUUGGAGGAAGGUGGGGAUGACGUCAAGUCAUCAUGGCCUUUAUGUCCAGGGCCACACACGUGCUACAAUGGGCGGUACAAAGCGCUGCCAACCCGCGAGGGGGAGCUAAUCGCCAAAAACCGUCCUCAGUUCGGAUUGCAGGCUGCAACUCGCCUGCAUGAAGCUGGAAUCGCUAGUAAUGCUAUAUCAGAACGAUAGCGUGAAUACGUUCCCGGGCCUUGUACACACCGAUAGC